rnacentral:rRNA from 1 species
GACGAACGCUGGCGGCGUGCCUAAUACAUGCAAGUCGAACGCACAGUUUAUACCGUAGCUUGCUCCACCAUAGACUGUGAGUUGCGAACGGGUGAGUAACGCGUAGGUAACCUGCCUGGUAGCGGGGGAUAACUAUUGGAAACGAUAGCUAAUACCGCAUAAUAUUAAUUAUUGCAUGAUAAUUAAUUGAAAGGUGCAAUUGCACCACUACCAGAUGGACCUGCGUUGUAUUAGCUAGUAGGUGAGGUAACGGCUCACCUAGGCGACGAUACAUAGCCGACCUGAGAGGGUGAUCGGCCACACUGGGACUGAGACACGGCCCAGACUCCUACGGGAGGCAGCAGUAGGGAAUCUUCGGCAAUGGACGAAAGUCUGACCGAGCAACGCCGCGUGAGUGAAGAAGGGUUUCGGAUCGUAAAGCUCUGUUGUAAGAGAAGAACGGGUGUGAGAGUGGAAAGUUCACACUGUGACGGUAGCUUACCAGAAAGGGACGGCUAACUACGUG